rnacentral:lncRNA from 1 species
UGAGCAAGUACAUGAAUUGAACACAGGCAUUUUGGCAAGUACAUGAAUUGCCAUCUCUAACUGUCAUGCAGUUGAACUCUCAUCAAGAUUUACUUUGCUCACCAUAUUAUCUUGUCUUUUAGUAUAGAUGAAAAGGUGAUGUCAAAAACAAAAUAGUAUAGAUCAAAAGGUUUGUUUAUUUUUAGUUCAAAUAAUAAAAAGUAACUAAAUUAAUUGAUUAUUAUUAAAAAUUAUUAAAAAAUUUAUCCAAAAUAUUUAAAUUGUCCAAUACUUUUAUCCAAAUGAUCGGAAUCAUUUAAAUCAUCAAAUAUUUUUAUCCAAACAAAUUGACAUUGCCUUAGUAUCGAACCUGUAAUGUAGGCCUGUACAUUUUAACCUGAACCUGAAAACCCGAACUGGAACCUAUCCGAAAAUAUCCG